UAGUGCAUGGUAACGUGCAUGUGAGUCAAAAGCUCUCCUCUUGGCCUUUUUAUGCAUGCCCUUGAAGAAGGGCCGGCCAUGCAAUUGCAAUGCAUGUGUGCCCGCCUACUCCCUCCAUCUCUCUCUCAUCUUGGUACACCUUUGGGGCAUGCAUUGAUCUCUCUCUCACCUGCACCCCCCUUCUGGUCGACACCCUUAGCUCUUCUACAGUACCCAUCUUGUUUGAUAGUGUUUGGAGAUGAAGAAAGAGAUAAGUGUAUGCGUGAAAGAAAAUAUUUCACUAGAUUCUUGGACCAAGCCUCGCUGCAACGUCUCCAUCCCCUCUCUCCAGUAAAGGAGAUGAGCUGCUGCACCUCUCCCACCCCGUCCAGCUAGUCUAGAAACCCCUAGUAACUAGCCCUGCCUCCCUCCCUCUCUCAUUUUGCCAUAGAGGCCAAUGACAUGUCCCAAUUUUUAAGACGAGAUUUUCUGACCGAGCCACUGCGCCAUCAACGCCUAUUUUUCGAACAUGAUCGAACCCUGACCCUCUCCUUGCUUUUGUCUGGUUCCUUGCGGUGGGUUUCGGCGUGCUCUGAGAUGCCGACGCUGCGUCGAGCACGUGGUGUGCGUUCGCUCGUCGUCCUCUUUCCCAGCAGACCGGUCCUCCUUCGACCUGUCCCUUCGCCACUGACCCCGUGCACCAUGCAUUGCCUCGCUGGCGCGCUCCUCAUCUCUCUCGUGCCCAUUUAUUCUCGUCCCCUGCGCAGCCACUCAUCCCGGUCAGUGCACGUCGAGCACGGCCGCACGCCGUCCCGCGACCACUCCCUGCGUUUCCUUUUCCAAACGCCCUCGGACAGCCACCCCAAUCCAAAACGCUGUACAGCGUGAGCAGACGCUCCUCCACCGCCUCUCCUGGCCAGUGGCAGGCCGUGGACGACGCCAACCCCGCCCUGGCCGCGGCUCACCGUGCACCAUCUCCUGCCCCCCAUAAAACCGACCCGAGCAGCUUCUAUGAUCCCCAAAACCUGUCCACACUUACUCACUCCCCUCUCACCUCUCCGCACCUCCCAAAAGCAAGCCGAGGCGGAUCCCUGCCAUGUUUCUUCUUCCUCUCGAGCCAAUGGAGGACACCAAGAUGGAGCUCGCCUCGCGGUUCUGCAACUCGUCGUUGACGAGGGAGGUGAUGCGCCUGUUGUUUCCGGUAACCUCCGGCGGUUCACGGCAACGGCAGCCUCGCCCGCGCCGUCCCCGUCGAGCGCCGCGAGCAGCCACAGAUCUCCCCGCCGUCCGUCGUGUUCCCUUCGUCGAGACCAGGCUCCCGAUGGUCGCCGUUGUUGAGCUCCGUCCCGGCUGCUGCUGUUCCCGACGCGGAACGCGUCCUCGUUCGCGCCGACGCCCAGGAACCCUGCCAACUCGUCCAGGUCGCCGUCGCCAUCAAGCUCCGCCCGUAGCCCGUGAACCUGGCCAUGACCGGCGCCGCCCUCGGUUUCGUCCGGCGGUCGGGAUCUCACCUGCGCGCAAGAUGAGGCCGAGCGGACCCUCCUCGUCCUCCCGGCACCGCCCUACGCGUCGCCGUGUCACCUUCGAGCCGCCGCCCGUGAGCCUCAUGUGCGUCCAAGCCGCGGCGUCCGCGCGACCUCCGCCCGCCGCCGCUUCUCUCUUGUUUUCCUCGUAUCCGACAGCCCACGGUGAGCUCCCUUCCUCCGUCGUACACACAUCGCGGCCGCGCCGCCCGGUUUCGAUCGUCGCAGAAGAAAACGCCAGGGCCGCAGAUCGACGAUCCGAUGGUUGCAUGUGGCCUAGCCCAUGCAUGGCGUGGUGUUCCCGCAAUCUCACGCCCGUGGGGACGUACUUCUGGGCCGGCCCGUGGCCGAAUCCGGCAGAUCUGGCCGUUUGGUCCAGCCCCUUUUAAAUUCCUUUUGUUUCGAAAUAUAACUGCAGGACCUUCUCUAGCUUUUAAUCCAUUAAAAACUCAUAAUAGAUCCAAAUGAGAUGAUUCAAAUUCCUACCUGUUCCUAAGAAAAUUCUUAAUCACCUAUACUUACAUGCA